AGCGAACGCUGGCGGCAGGCUUAACACAUGCAAGUCGAACGCCCCGCAAGGGGAGUGGCAGACGGGUGAGUAACACGUGGGAACGUACACUUUGGCUCGGAAUAACUUGGGGAAACUCAAGCUAAUACCGGAUAAGCCCUUAUGGGGAAGGGGUCACUGCAGAAGGAUCGGCCCGCGUCUGUUUAGCUAGUGUGUGAGGUAAUGGCUCACCAAGGCGACGAUCAGUAGCUGGUCUGAGAGGAUGAUCAGCCCGACUGGGACUGAGACACAGCCCAGGCUCCUACAGGAGGGAGCAGUGGGGAAUAUUGGACAAUGGGGGCGACCCUGAUCCAGCCAUGCCGCGUGAGUGAUGAAGGCCUUAGGGUUGUAACGCUCUUUUACCAGGGACGAUAAUGACUGUACCGGGAGAAUAAGCCCCGGCUAACUUCGUGCCAGCCGCCGCAGUAA
rnacentral:rRNA from 1 species